AACUUGCUACUCCAGGAAACCCCUGUUUCCUGUUGUGGGGCAGCAGCAGCACAAACCCAGCAAUCCUUCCCUCACCCUGUAAGGCUCACCUUGCAAAGCCUUGACAUUGAAGAAGAAGAUAUUUUCCAUCUGGUGGAGAGCUGAAACAUGCUUCUCUCCAGCCUUCUGAAAGUGGUCGUGGCUUCACUGUGUUUAGGAUCCAUUAUUGCCCAGAAGGUAACUCAAGACCAACCACAAGUACUAGUACAAGAGAAGGAAGCUGUAACCCUGGACUGCAAGUAUGACACCAGUGAUUCACAGUAUUAUUUAUUCUGGUACAAGCAGCCCAGCAAUGGGGGGAUGAUUCUCCUUGUUCGUCAGGAUUCUUAUAACCAGCAAAAUGCCACAGAAGGUCGCUACUCAUUGAAUUUCCAGAAAGCAAGAAAAUCUAUCACACUUGUCAUCUCAGCUUCACAGCUGGAGGACUCUGCAGUGUAUUUCUGUGCGCUGAGUGAGCCCACAGUGAGACGUGUGGAGGAGAGACCUGCACCAAAACCCAGGGCCCUUCUCCACCUGCCAUAG